UCAGUGUAAAUUUAAAAUUCAGACUUAAAGCAUAUAUGAAAACCCAGAAGAAGAUGUAAAACAACCUGAGAAUCUAGUUCUCAGUCUGGAACUGCUAAGUCUGGUGACGACUAUGGACAAUUCACAUGGUUUUUUGGAAAAUUUAAAUAAAUUAUAUUGAAAAAGUU